rnacentral:rRNA from 1 species
CGCGUAGGCGGUUUUGUAAGUCGAAUGUGAAAGCCCCGGGCUUAACCUGGGAAUUGCGUUCGAUACUGCGAAACUAGAGUACGUAGAGGGAAGUGGAAUUCCGGGUGUAGCGGUGAAAUGCGUAGAUAUCCGGAGGAACACCAGUGGCGAAGGCGACUUCCUGGGCCAGUACUGACGCUGAGGUGCGAAAGCGUGGGGAGCAAACA